GAUGUAGGUCACUGAUGUCUGUGUAGAUAGGGAGCUGUGAUGAGAACAAGAGGCCAGACCACAUCCAGACUCCUUAAGGGAAGGCCUAUUUCUGUUUUGGAAACUUUUCAAAGUCAGGGACUUGUCCAAUCCAACCUCCCCACUGCUCCUAGCUCCUGAGGCUCAGGACCCUUGGCUUCUCUCCUUCCUGCUCAGGGUCCUGCAGCAUUGCCUCUGCUCAGCCAUGCUCUUGCUGCUCGUCCCGGUGCUCCAGGUGAUUUUUACCCUGGGAGGAACCAGAGCCCAGUCGGUGACCCAGCUUGACAGCCACGUCCCUGUUUCUGAAGGAACGCCGGUGCUGCUGAGGUGCAACUACUCAUCGUCUUAUUCACCAUCUCUCUUCUGGUAUGUGCAACACCCCAACCAAGGACUCCAGCUUCUCCUGAAGUAUUUAUCAGGACCCACCGUGGUUAAAGGCAUCAACGGUUUUGAGGCUGAGUUUAAAAAGAGUGAAACCUCCUUCCACCUGACGAAAUCCUCAGCCCAUGUGAGCGACGCGGCUGAGUACUUCUGUGCUAUGAGUGACACAGUGCUUGAGACUGCAGGAGAGCUGAACACAAACCUCCUGAGAUGCUGAGACUUUCUGUGACUCAAGAACUCAACCUUGAAGUCUGUCUUGUAAUAUUAAAUAGCCAUUCCAAGUUUCUGAUGCUUAUUGAUGUAUGCUGUAUCUUUUUCAUCUAUUUAUUUUUAAACUAUCUAUACUUUAAAUUUAAAGUGUGUUUCCUUUAGGUAGCUUUAUAUAUAGGGUCUUUCUAUUCACUAUGUCAAUCUCUGGUUUUGCAUUGGCAAGUUUAGAUAAUUAUAAUUUAAUGUAUAUUGAUGAAAUUGGAUUUUAGUAUACUAUGUUAUUAUUGUGUUUUUUUCCACCCUUAUUUAUUUUUUGUUGUUCUUUUUUUUUACUGACACUUUUUGGAUUAUUUGAAUAUUUUUAACACUAUUUUUAUCUAUGGACUUCUUUGGUUAUAUUUCCAUAUGUUUUGAGUGGUUGCUCUGGAGAUUAUAAUACAUAUGACUAACUCUCCAGGGUCUUCUGUGAUGUUGUACCUCUUUAUGUAAAAUGUAGAAAUUUUUGUA